rnacentral:rRNA from 1 species
UAGGGAAUCUUCGGCAAUGGGGGCAACCCUGACCGAGCAACGCCGCGUGAGUGAAGAAGGUUUUCGGAUCGUAAAGCUCUGUUGUAAGAGAAGAACGUGUGUGAGAGUGGAAAGUUCACACAGUGACGGUAACUUACCAGAAAGGGACGGCUAACUACGUGCCAGCAGCCGGGGUAAUACGUAGGUCCCGAGCGUUGUCCGGAUUUAUUGGGCGUAAAGCGAGCGCAGGCGGUUUAAUAAGUCUGAAGUUAAAGGCAGUGGCUUAACCAUUGUUCGCUUUGGAAGCUGUUAAACUUGAGUGCAGAAGGGGAGAGUGGAAUUCCAUGUGUAGCGGUGAAAUGCGUAGAUAUAUGGAGGAACACCGGUGGCGAAAGCGGCUCUCUGGUCUGUAACUGACGCUGAGGCUCGAAAGCGUGGGGAGCAAACAGG